rnacentral:rRNA from 1 species
UACGGAGGGGGCAAGCGUUAUUCGGAAUUAUUGGGCGUAAAGGGCGCGUAGGCGGCUAGAUGUGUCAAAGGUGAAAUCCCUCGGCUUAACCGAGGAACUGCCCUCCAAACUGCUUGGCUUGAGACCGGGAGAGGUGAGUGGAAUUCCCAGUGUAGCGGUGAAAUGCGUAGAUAUUGGGAGGAACACCAGUGGCGAAGGCGGCUCACUGGACCGGUACUGACGCUGAGGCGCGAAAGCGUGGGGAGCAAACGGG